rnacentral:rRNA from 1 species
UUGCCUUUGUACGGCGAGUGAAGCGGCAAAAGCUCAAUUUGAAAUCUGGCACCUUCGGUGUCCGAGUUGUAAUUUGAAGAAGGUAACUUUGGAGUUGGCUCUUGUCUAUGUUCCUUGGAACAGGACGUCACAGAGGGUGAGAAUCCCGUGCGAUGAGAUGCCCAAUUCUAUGUAAAGUGCUUUCUAAGAGUCAGUUGUUUGGGAAUGCAGCUCUAAGUGGGUGGUUAAUUCCAUCUAAAGCUAAAUAUUGGCGAGAGACCGAUAGCAACAAGUACAGUGAUGGAAAGAUGAAAAGAACUUUGAAAAGAGAGUGAAAAAGUACGUGAAAUUGUUGAAAGGGAAGGGCUUGAGAUCAGACUUGGUAUUUUGCGAUCCUUUCCUUCUUGGUUGGGUUCCUCGCAGCUUACUGGGCCAGCAUCGGUUUGGAUGGUAGGAUAAUGACUAAGGAAUGGGCUCUACUUCGGUGGAGUGUUAUAGCCUGGUUAUCGCCCGUCGACCGAGGA